CGCGUAACACGUGGGCAACCUGCCUUGAAGCGGGGGACAACAAUCCGAAAGGGUUGCUAAUACCGCAUGUGAACUUUUGUGGCAUCACGAAAUGUUCAAAGCUUUAUGCACUUCAAGAUGGGCCCGCGGCCUAUCAGCUAGUUGGUGGGGUAACGGCCUACCAAGGCUUCGACGGGUAGCUGGUCUGAGAGGACGAUCAGCCGGAUUGGGACUGAGAUACGGCCCAG
rnacentral:rRNA from 1 species